CCGCAUACGUCCUACGGGAGAAAGCAGGGGACCUUCGGGCCUUGCGCUAUCAGAUGAGCCUAGGUCGGAUUAGCUAGGUGGUGAGGUAAUGGCUCACCAAGGCGACGAUCCGUAACUGGUCUGAGAGGAUGAUCAGUCACACUGGAACUGAGACACGGUCCAGACUCCUACGGGAGGCAGCAGUGGGGAAUAUUGGACAAUGGGCGAAAGCCUGAUCCAGCCAUGCCGCGUGUGUGAAGAAGGUCUUCGGAUUGUAAAGCACUUUAAGUUGGGAGGAAGGGCAUUAACCUAAUACGUUAGUGUUUUGACGUUACCGACAGAAUAAGCACCGGCUAACUCUGUGCCAGCAGCCGCGGUAAUACAGAGGGUGCAAGCGUUAAUCGGAAUUACUGGGCGUAAAGCGCGCGUAGGUGGUUUGUUAAGUUGGAUGUGAAAUCCCCGGGCUCAACCUGGGAACUGCAUUUCAAAACUGACAAGCUAGAGUAUGGUAGAGGGUGGUGGAA
rnacentral:rRNA from 1 species